CACCAUCUAGCCCCCUCAUGCCUCCCUAAAUAUAGUAAAAUAUUACUUGUAUUCAAGCCUGAAGCUGCAUGCUUUGUCCCAGUUUCCAUUUGACCCGCCCACUGCCAUCAGCAGAAGUGGUAGCCUGAGCCAAUCACAAUACUUCCCCAUAGGAUUGGCUGAGACUGUCAAGGAGGCAGAUCAGGGGCAAUUCAAACACAGCCCUGGCCAAUCAGCAUC